rnacentral:ncRNA from 1 species
AAUAAACUAGUGACCGAGAGUAGUACAUGUAUCAAGUUUGAUUUACAGAGAGCUACAGAUAGUGAGAUUGUAGUAAUGAAAGGAACAUGGAAUGGACUUGGGAAGGUGGGAGCAAAGAGCAGUGGCUCGAGUAAUGCCCAACGGGAUUUCCGCUCGUUAUCAAGGGAAGAUGUAUGUUAGUACAUUAUGUGAGUGGGUGCAUUUUGCAUCAAUUUAGGUGGUACCGCAGGAGUAUAGACUCUUGUCCUAAGA